CGGGACACGUGGUAUCCUGUCUGAAUAUGGGGGGACCAUCCUCCAAGGCUAAAUACUCCUGACUGACCGAUAGUGAACCAGUACCGUGAGGGAAAGGCGAAAAGAACCCCGGCGAGGGGAGUGAAAAAGAACCUGAAACCGUGUACGUACAAGCAGUGGGAGCACGCUUAGGCGUGUGACUGCGUACCUUUUGUAUAAUGGGUCAGCGACUUAUAUUCUGUAGCAAGGUUAACCGAAUAGGGGAGCCGAAGGGAAACCGAGUCUUAACUGGGCGUUAAGUUGCAGGGUAUAGACCCGAAACCCGGUGAUCUAGCCAUGGGCAGGUUGAAGGUUGGGUAACACUAACUGGAGGACCGAACCGACUAAUGUUGAAAAAUUAGCGGAUGACUUGUGGCUGGGGGUGAAAGGCCAAUCAAACCGGGAGAUAGCUGGUUCUCCCCGAAAGCUAUUUAGGUAGCGCCUCGUGAAUUCAUCUCCGGGGGUAGAGCACUGUUUCGGCAAGGGGGUCAUCCCGACUUACCAACCCGAUGCAAACUGCGAAUACCGGAGAAUGUUAUCACGGGAGACACACGGCGGGUGCUAACGUCCGUCGUGAAGAGGGAAACAACCCAGACCGCCAGCUAAGGUCCCAAAGUCAUGGUUAAGUGGGAAACGAUGUGGGAAGGCCCAGACAGCCAGGAUGUUGGCUUAGAAGCAGCCAUCAUUUAAAGAAAGCGUAAUAGCUCACUGGUCGAGUCGGCCUGCGCGGAAGAUGUAACGGGGCUAAACCAUGCACCGAAGCUGCGGCAGCGACGCUUAUGCGUUGUUGGGUAGGGGAGCGUUCUGUAAGCCUGUGAAGGUGUGCUGUGAGGCAUGCUGGAGGUAUCAGAAGUGCGAAUGCUGACAUAAGUAACGAUAAAGCGGGUGAAAAGCCCGCUCGCCGGAAGACCAAGGGUUCCUGUCCAACGUUAAUCGGGGCAGGGUGAGUCGACCCCUAAGGCGAGGCCGAAAGGCGUAGUCGAUGGGAAACAGGUUAAUAUUCCUGUACUUGGUGUUACU
rnacentral:rRNA from 1 species